CCUACGGGAGGCAGCAGUGAGGAAUAUUGGUCAAUGGUCGGGAGACUGAACCAGCCAAGCCGCGUGAGGGAUGAAGGUACAGAGUAUCGUAAACCUCUUUUGUCAGGGAACAAAGGCGGGGACGUGUCCCCGGCUGAGUGUACCUGAAGAAAAAGCAUCGGCUAACUCCGUGCCAGCAGCCGCGGUAAUACGGAGGAUGCGAGCGUUAUCCGGAUUUAUUGGGUUUAAAGGGUGCGUAGGCGGGUUAUCAAGUCAGCGGUAAAAUCGUGGAGCUCAACUCCAUCCAGCCGUUGAAACUGAUGAUCUGGAGUGGGCGAGAAGUAUGCGGAAUGUGUGGUGUAGCGGUGAAAUGCAUAGAUAUCACGCAGAACUCCGAUUGCGAAGGCAGCAUACCGGCGCUCAACUGACGCUCAUGCACGAAAGUGUGGGUAUCGAACAGGAUUAGAUACCCCUGUAGUC
rnacentral:rRNA from 1 species